UGGGGAAUUUUGGACAAUGGGCGAAAGCCUGAUCCAGCAAUGCCGCGUGUGUGAAGAAGGCCUUCGGGUUGUAAAGCACUUUUGUCCGGAAAGAAAUCCUUGGCUCUAAUACAGUCGGGGGAUGACGGUACCGGAAGAAUAAGCACCGGCUAACUACGUGCCAGCAGCCGCGGUAAUACGUAGGGUGCAAGCGUUAAUCGGAAUUACUGGGCGUAAAGCGUGCGCAGGCGGUUUGCUAAGACCGAUGUGAAAUCCCCGGCGUCAACUGGACUGCAUGGUGAGCUGGCAGGCUAGAGUAUGGCAGAGGGGGGUAGAAUUCCACGUGUAGCAGUGAAAUGCGUAGAGAUGUGGAGGAAUACCGAUGGCGAAGGCAGCCCCCUGGGCCAAUACUGACGCUCAUGCACGAAAGCGUGGGGAGCAAACAGGAUUAGAUACCCUGGUAGUCCACGCCCUAAACGAUGUCAACUAGUUGUU
rnacentral:rRNA from 1 species